UACGAAGGGGGCGAGCGUUAUUCGGAAUUAUUGGGUGUAAAGGGCGCGUAGGCGGUGCGAAAAGUCUGUUGUUUAAAUCUCUGGCCUAACCAGAGGCAUGCAGCGGAUACUCUCGCGCUAGAGUAUGGAAGAGAGAAGUGGAAUUCUCGGAGUAGCGGUAAAAUGCGUAGAUCUCGAGAGGAACGCCAAUGGCGAAGGCAGCUUCUUGGUACAUUACUGACGCUAAGGCGCGAAGGCGUGGGGAGCAAACAGG
rnacentral:rRNA from 1 species